CGGGAUCCGUCCCGUGAAGGAAUGUGGCGUUUUUCAGACGCUGAACCUGAGG
rnacentral:ncRNA from 1 species